UACGGAGGGGGCAAGCGUUGGCCGGAUUUAUUUGGGUUAAAGGGGGCGUAGGCGGCCCUGUAAGUCAGUGGUGAAAGCCUCCAGCUCAACUGGAGAACUGCCAUUGAUACUGCAGGGCUUGAGUACAGACAAGGUUGGCGGAAUUGAUAGUGUAGCGGUGAAAUGCAUAGAUACUAUCAAGAACUCCGAUUGCGUAGGCAGCUAACUAGGCUGUAACUGACGCUGAGGCACGAAAGCGUGGGGAGCGAACAGG
rnacentral:rRNA from 1 species